UACGUAGGGGGCAAGCGUUAUCCGGAUUUACUGGGUGUAAAGGGGGCGCAGACGGUCUUUUAAGUCUGAUGUGAAAGCCUUCGGCUUAACCGGAGUAGUGCAUUGGAAACUGGGAGACUUGAGUGCAGAAGAGGAGAGUGGAACUCCAUGUGUAGCGGUGAAAUGCGUAGAUAUAUGGAAGAACACCAGUGGCGAAAGCGGCUCUCUGGUCUGUAACUGACGCUGAGGUUCGAAAGCGUGGGUAGCAAACAGG
rnacentral:rRNA from 1 species